UACGGAGGGGGCUAGCGUUGUUCGGAAUUACUGGGCGUAAAGCGCGCGUAGGCGGACCUGCAAGUCGGGGGUGAAAGCCCGAGGCUCAACCUCGGAACUGCCUUCGAUACUGCGGGUCUCGAGUCCGGGAGAGGUGAGUGGAAUUCCUAGUGUAGAGGUGAAAUUCGUAGAUAUUAGGAAGAACACCAGUGGCGAAGGCGGGUCACUGGCUCGGUACUGACGCUGAGGCGCGAAAGCGUGGGGAGCAAACAGG
rnacentral:rRNA from 1 species